rnacentral:rRNA from 1 species
ACACAUGCAAGUCGAACGGACUUACAUUGAAGCCUAGCGAUAUGUAAGUUAGUGGCGGACGGGUGAGUAACGCGUGGGUAACCUGCCUUGUACUGGGGGACAACAGUUGGAAACGACUGCUAAUACCGCAUAAGCGCACAGCUUCGCAUGAAGCAGUGUGAAAAACUCCGGUGGUACAAGAUGGACCCGCGUCUGAUUAGCUGGUUGGUGAGGUAACGGCCCACCAAGGCGACGAUCAGUAGCCGGCCUGAGAGGGUGAACGGCCACAUUGGGACUGAGACACGGCCCAAACUCCUACGGGAGGCAGCAGUGGGGAAUAUUGCACAAUGGGGGAAACCCUGAUGCAGCAACGCCGCGUGAGUGAAGAAGUAUUUCGGUAUGUAAAGCUCUAUCAGCAGGAAAGAAAAUGACGGUACCUGACUAAGAAGCCCCGGCUAACUACGUGCCAGCAGCCGCGGUAAUACGUAGGGGGCAAGCGUUAUCCGGAUUUACUGGGUGUAAAGGGAGUGUAGACGGUUUUGCAAGUCUGAAGUGAAAGCCCGGGGCUUAACCCCGGGACUGCUUUGGAAACUGUAGGACUAGAGUGCAGGAGAGGUAAGUGGAAUUCCUAGUGUAGCGGUGAAAUGCGUAGAUAUUAGGAGGAACACCAGUGGCGAAGGCGGCUUACUGGACUGUAACUGACGUUGAGGCUCGAAAGCGUGGGGAGCAAACAGGAUUAGAUACCCUGGUAGUCCACGCCGUAAACGAUGAUUACUAGGUGUUGGUGGGUAUGACCCAUCGGUGCCGCAGCAAACGCAAUAAGUAAUCCACCUGGGGAGUACGUUCGCAAGAAUGAAACUCAA